UGGGGAAUUUUGGACAAUGGGGGCAACCCUGAUCCAGCGAUGCCGCGUGGGUGAAGAAGGCCUGCGGGUUGUAAAGCCCUUUCGGUGGUGAAGAGGUGAGUUUGUGCGAAUAACACGGACUCAUGACGGUAACCACAAAAGAAGCACCGGCUAACUCUGUGCCAGCAGCCGCGGUAAGACAGAGGGUGCAAGCGUUAAUCGGAAUUACUGGGCGUAAAGGGCGUGUAGGCGGACUGUCAAGUCAGAUGUGAAAGCCCUGGGCUUAACCUGGGAACGGCAUUUGAAACUGAGAGUCUAGAGUGAAGCAGAGGGUAGCGGAAUUUCCGGUGUAGCGGUGAAAUGCGUAGAUAUCGGAAGGAACACCAGUGGCGAAGGCGGCUACCUGGGCUUUAACUGACGCUGAGGCGCGAAAGCGUGGGGAGCGAACAG
rnacentral:rRNA from 1 species